GAACAUGUCACCCAGGGGUGGAGGAAGUACAAAGAGGCAUUCAACUGGCACACCAGUCCGAAGGCGACAAGGCGUUGGGUACCGCUCAGACGACUUCGUCCGAGCAUGCGUGUCCAUCACAUCACAGAAAGCAAAAGCUACAAGCAGAGAACUCCGUGUGUACUUUCAUAAUCCUUUCCAAAGAAAAGCCUGCAGCCUCAGGAGAUCUCGAGGCCACAAUGGAUACCGCGAAGGCUUCAGUGUGUGCGGAGAGAGAGGAGCAUCUACAUGAAAUUUGAGGAGGACUAGAAAAGGAGGAGGAAGAGGAAGAGUAGGAGGAAGAAGAGGAAGAAGAGGAAAAAGAGGAGGACACAGCUGGGAGAACAAGAAAUUAUUUAAACGGUUGUGUGUAUCUGUGCAUGUUAGUACAGGUGUCAGUGGAGACCAGAAGAGCACACUGGAUCUCUUGGAGCAGGAGUUACAGAUGGUUGUGAACUUUAAAUUCAACUGAAGUCCUUUGGAAGAACAGAGCAUGCUCCUGGCUACCUAGCCAUCUUUCUACCCCUGAGACGAGUGCUUUCUUGAAAACAACUUCUACUGGACAUAAGGCCUCCUCUGUCAGUCCUCAAGAACCUGACCAGAGCUGCACCCCUGUGCCUGUCAUUAGGGAGCUUGCUUAGCAGCAGAGGAAUCCUAGUCCUUCACACCUCUGGUGUGAAGUCCUACUGUGCCAAGUGGGCUUCCUAGGAGCAGUUUCUAGCCAAGUCUCCAUAUGCUUGGUGGGCGGGUGUGGAAACCCGGGUAAGGCUUGGCAGGAGAUCUGCAGAGGGAGCUGUUACAACCCAAACAGUCACUGUGUGCACAAUGCUUCACUCACACGUCUCUUCCAUAUGCCUGGAACCAGUUACUGGAAACUGCAAGACUCUGUGCAACCCCUCAAAAUGACAGAGAAAGUGCCUGGGACUCACGGGACAACUUGGUCUAAUGUCUCCUAGGCAUCCUAAAAGCCACUGAGUAUUUAAAUUAUCAUACAGAGGGAAAUAUACCCAGGUCAGUCCUUCCACUAUUGGACUGAAAUAAAGAUUUUUGGUUGCCCGA
rnacentral:lncRNA from 1 species